rnacentral:misc_RNA from 1 species
GAUGAAGAACGCAGCGAAAUGCGAUAAGUAGUGUGAAUUGCAGAAUUCAGUGAAUCAUCGAAUCUUUGAACGCACAUUGCGCCCCUUGGUAUUCCAUGGGGCAUGCAUGUUCGAGCGUCAUUUGUACCUUCAAGCUCUGCUUGGUGUUGGGUGUUUGUCUCGCCUCUGCGUGUAGACUCGCCUCAAAACAAUUGGCAGCCGGCGUAUUGAUUUCGGAGCGCAGUACAUCUCGCGCUUUGCACUCAUAACGACGACGUCCAAAAGUACAUUUUUACACUCUUGACCUCGGAUCAGGUAGGGAUACCCGCUGAACUUAAGCAUAUCAAUAAGCGGAGGA